CACGUAGGGGGCAAGCGUUGUCCGGAUUCAUUGGGCGUAAAGAGCUCGUAGGGCGGCUCAGUAAGUCGGGUGUGAAACCCUCAGGCUCAACCUGGGGACGCCACUCGAUACUGCUGUGGCUAGAGUCCAGUAGAGGAGUGUGGAAUUCCCGGUGUAGCGGUGAAAUGCGCAGAGUAUCGGGAAGGAACACCAACGGCGAAGGCAGCACUCUGGGCUGGAACUGACGCUGAGGAGCGAA
rnacentral:rRNA from 1 species